rnacentral:rRNA from 1 species
UACAGGGGGGGCAAGCGUUGUUCGGAAUUACUGGGCGUAAAGGGUCUGUAGGUGGCCAACUAAGUCAGACGUGAAAUCCCUCAGCUUAACUGGGGAACUGCGUCUGAUACUGGAUGGCUUGAGUGCAGGAGAGGAAUGCGGAAUUCCAGGUGUAGCGGUGAAAUGCGUAGAUAUCUGGAGGAACACCGGUGGCGAAGGCGGCAUUCUGGACUGUAACUGACACUGAGAGACGAAAGCGUGGGGAGCGAACAGG